rnacentral:rRNA from 1 species
UACGAAGGGGGCUAGCGUUGUUCGGAAUUACUGGGCGUAAAGCGCACGUAGGCGGCUCUUUAAGUCGGAGGUGAAAUCCUGGAGCUCAACUCCAGAACUGCCUUUGAUACUGAAGAGCUCGAGUCCGGGAGAGGUGAGUGGAACUGCGAGUGUAGAGGUGAAAUUCGUAGAUAUUCGCAAGAACACCAGUGGCGAAGGCGGCUCACUGGCCCGGUACUGACGCUGAGGUGCGAAAGCGUGGGGAGCAAACAGG